GUGGUUCCGCGCCGACAAUGUAGCGGGGCUCAAGCACACCACCGAAGACGCGGCAACAGUUUUUGCUGUUGGGUAGGAGAGCGUCCCGCGUGGGGCGAAGCGGCCGGGGAACCGUGCCGUGGACCGCGCGGGAGUGAGAAUGCAGACAUGAGUAGCGAGAGACGGGUGAGGAUCCCGUCCGCUGGAUGACCAAGGGUUCCGGGGCCACGUUCGUCGUCCCCGGGUGAGUCGGGUCCUAAGGCGAGGCCGACAGGCGUAGUCGAAUGGAUGAACGGGUGGAUAUUCCCGUACCGGCGGCGUACCGUAAGAGCCGAACGGAUGAGUACUAACCUCCGGUCGCGUGGCGUCGUUCCCUUCGGGGUUCGGGGUCCGCGGUCGUUGGGAGCGUAGUCCUGGUAGGCUAGCGCACAGGGGUGACACGGAAUGGGAGCCGGCCGCGGAGGUGGUUUUCCGUGGUCAAGCACGCAGCCCGUCCCAUAGGCAAAUCCGUGGGACGCAUAGGGUGAGGUGUGAUGAUGGGCGUCCUUUGGACGCGAUAUCCGGUGGUCCAGGCCGUCGAGAAAAGCCUCGGCGCGAGGGGCGUCGCCGCCCGUACCCCAAACCGACACUGGUGGUCAGGUAGAGAAUACCAAGGCGAUCGAGCGAAUCCUGGUCAAGGAACUCGGCAAAUCACUCCCGUGCCUUCGGUAUAAGGGAGACCCCCGGGCGUGAAGAGGCUUGCCCUCGGAGCGUUGGGGGGUGGCACAGACCAGGGGGUAGCGACUGUUUACCAAAAACACAGGUGCAUGCGAAGGCGCAAGCCGCUGUAUAUGCACUGACGCCUGCCCGGUGCCGGAAGGUUAAGAGGAUCCGUCAGCCCCUUUUGGGGUGAAGCGGUGAAUUCAAGCCCCGGUAAACGGCGGUGGUAACUAUAACCAUCCUAAGGUAGCGAAAUUCCUUGUCGGGUAAGUUCCGACCUGCACGAAUGGCGUAACGACUUCCCCACUGUCUCGACCAGGAGCUCGGCGAAAUUGCAGUACGAGUAAAGAUGCUCGUUAAGCGCAGAAGGACGAAAAGACCCCGGGACCUUUACUAUACCUUGGUAUUGGCGUUAGGCGCGGAUUGUGUAGCAUAGGCGGGAGGCUUCGAAGCAUGGGCGCCAGCCCGUGUGGAGCCGCAAGGUGAAAUACCGCUCUGUUCUCGUUUGACGUCUAACCUCGAACAGUCAUCCUGUUCAGGGACAGUGCCUGGCGGGUAGUUUAACUGGGGCGGUUGCCUCCCAAAGAGUAACGGAGGCGCUCAAAGGUCCGCUCAGCCCGGUUGGCAAUCGGGUUUCGAGUGUAAUCGCACAAGCGGGCUUGACUGCGAGAACGACGGUUCGGGCAGGGACGAAAGUCGGAGAUAGUGAUCCGGUGCCGGCGCACGGGCGCGGCAUCGCUCAACGGAUAAAAGGUACCCCGGGGAUAACAGGCUGAUCAUUCC
rnacentral:rRNA from 1 species